CAGUAGCCGCGGUAAGACGGAGGGUGCUAGCGUUGUUCGGAAUCACUGGGCGUAAAGGGCGCGUAGGCGGCCUGUUAAGUCGGAUGUGAAAGCCCGGGGCUCAACCCCGGAACUGCAUCCGAGACUGGCAGGCUUGAGACCGGGAGAGGAGGGUGGAAUAUCCAGUGUAGAGGUGAAAUUCGUAGAUAUUGGAUGGAACACCGGUGGCGAAAGCGGCUCUCUGGCCCGGAUCUGACGCUGAGGCGCGAAAGCGUGGGGAGCAAGCAGGAUUAGAUACCCCCGUAGUCCCUGUCUCUUAUAC
rnacentral:rRNA from 1 species